GAUGAACGCUAGCGGGAGGCCUAACACAUGCAAGCCGAGCGGUAUUGUUUCUUCGGAAAUGAGAGAGCGGCGUACGGGUGCGUAACACGUGUGCAACCUGCCUUUAUCUGGGGGAUAGCCUUUCGAAAGGAAGAUUAAUACUCCAUAAUAUAUUGAACGGCAUCGUUUAAUAUUGAAAGCUCCGGCGGAUAGAGAUGGGCACGCGCAAGAUUAGCUAGUUGGUGAGGUAACGGCUCACCAAGGCGAUGAUCUUUAGGGGGCCUGAGAGGGUGAUCCCCCACACUGGUACUGAGACACGGACCAGACUCCUACGGGAGGCAGCAGUGAGGAAUAUUGGUCAAUGGGUGCAAGCCUGAACCAGCCAUCCCGCGUGAAGGACGACUGCCCUAUGGGUUGUAAACUUCUUUUGUAUAGGGAUAAACCUACCCUCGAGAGGGUAGCUGAAGGUACUAUACGAACAAGCACCGGCUAACUCCGU
rnacentral:rRNA from 1 species